rnacentral:rRNA from 1 species
AUUGAACGCCGGCGGCAGGCCUAACACAUGCAAGUCGAACGAGUGGCGGACGGGUGAGUAAUGUCUGGGAAACUCCCCGAUGGAGGGGGAUAACUACUGGAAACGGUAGCUAAUCCCUCAUACCAUCGGAUGUGCCCAGCUGGGAGUAGCUAGUAGGUUGGGUAACGGCUCACCUAGGCGACGAUCCCUAGCUGGUCUGGGAGGAUGACCAGCAAGACUGGAACUGAGACACGGUCAAGACUCCUACGGGAGGCAGCAGUGGGGAAUAUUGCACAAUGGGCGCAAGCCUGAUGCAGCCAUGCCGCGUGUAUGAAGAGGGCCUUCGGGUUGUAAAGUACUUUCAGCGAGGAGGCGUUACUCGCAGAAGAAGCACCGGCUAACUCCGUGCCAGCCGCCGCGGUAAUUC